rnacentral:tRNA from 1 species
GCCGGGUUAGCUCAGUGGUAGAGCAACUGAUUUGUAAUCAGUAGGUCGUCGGUUCAAAUCCGACACUCGGCUCCA